UCUGGAGAGUUUGUACCAACUUCUUCCAGUCUGAAUAGGAAUCAUCUCCCCUACUCCACUCGUUGGCGCUGAAUCUUGUGACAUCAUCUCCACAUUUCCAUACUGAGGUAGGAUAACCUUGCCAAGGAGGAAAGGAAUUUGGACAGACUUAACAGACAGCCUGUGCAGCUUCCAGUAGCUGGACACUAAAAUGAAGAGAGAGUUUAUUCAUUCUCAUCCCGACACAGCCCACCAGAAUUAAAAGACGUUUUAACCUACAAGGGAGAUUGGGUCAAACACUUACUAAUCCACCCCAACCUGUCUACAUAAAGAAGCCUAUUUGAUUCCUCUGGC